rnacentral:tRNA from 1 species
GGAGGGGUAGCCUCAACGGUAAGGCACCUGCGUCGAAAGCAGGCGAGUCGGUGACGAGCCGAUGUGCGGGUUCAAAUCCACGCCCCCUCCGCCA